rnacentral:rRNA from 1 species
AAUCUAACAAAUUUAAAUGCUCGAAAUAGAUAUUAAGGUACUUAAAGGCGAAGAAGGACGUGAUUAUCUGCGAAAAGCUUUAUUUAGUUGAUAAAUAUAACAUAAAAAUAAAGAUCUCCGAAUGAGGCAACUCUUUAAUUUAUUUAAACAUUUAAAUAAAAGCAAACUUGAGGAACUGAACCAUCUUAGUACUCAAAGGAAAAUAAAGUAACAACGAUUCUCUGAGUAGUGGCGAGCGAAACGGGAAUAAACUAUAUUUAUAUAGUUUGUAAUUUAUUAUUUUUAAUUGAAAAUAAUAAAAUAUCAAUUUUAUAUAAUUGAACAAGUAAAGUAGAUAAUGUUUUUUCUGCUUGAAUAUACAAAGACCUCUUUGUAAUACUAAAUACUAUUAAGUGACCGACAGUGAACAAGUACCGUGAGGGAAAAAUGAAAAGUACCCCUAACGGGGAGUGAAAAGAUCUUGAAAUUUUGUGUAUACAAACAUUAGAAAGGUUACUAUAGCCUGACUAUAUGCCUGUUGAAGAAUGAGCCGAUGAGUAAAGAAAAAAGGCUCGAUUAAAGUAAAUUACUGAAGUCAUAGUGAAAGCGAGCUAAUUUAAGCGACAAGGUCUUCUUUUUUUAACCCGAACCUGGAUGAUCUAACCAUGUCCAGGAUGAAACUUAUGUAAAAACUAAGUGAAGGUCCGAACUGGUUGAUGCUGCAAAAUCAUCAGACGAGAUGUGGUUAGGGGUGAAAUGCCAAACGAAUUCAGAGUUAGCUGGUUCUCCUCGAAAUGUGUUUAGGCACAGCCAUUUAAUAAAAUUGUGGGGUAAAGCACUGUUUUAAAUAGAACUUUUUUAAGUAUCUUAAUUAAAACAAACUAAGAAUACUCAAUUUCAUAUUAUUAUAAUGAGUGAGACUUAGGGGGAUAAGCUCCUAAGUCGAGAGGGCAACAGCCCAGAUUAUAAGCUAAGGUACAUAAAUAAUAUUAAAUGAUGAAAAAAUGUAUUUAUACAAAAACAGCUAGAAGGUUGGCUUAGAAGCAGCUAUCCUUUAAAGAGUGCGUAAUAGCUCACUAGUUAAGUAUAAAUGCAUUUAAAAUUUAGGUCUAAAUAUUAUGCCGAAGCUAUAAGAUAUUAAUAUUAAUAAUCAGUAGAGGAGCGUUCUGUACAUGUUAUUUUAAAAUGUAAGUUUUAAUUAUUAUAACAGAAUUGAGAAUAUCGGUUUAAGUAACGAAAACUCAAGUAAGAAUCUUGAGCUCUGUAAAUUUAAGGUUUCCUACGUUUUAGUUUUUCUUCGUAGGGUUAGUCGGGGCCUAAAAUGAGAUAAUUUAUGUAAUUGAUGGUUAGCUAGGUUAAUAUUCCUACACCAAUAUUAAUAACUUUUAAAUAACUAAAUAUUGUUUUAUUGUAUUUAUUAUUGGUUUUAAAUUAAUAAAAUAUUAUUUACAAGAAAAGUUUUUAAAGUUUAUAUUAAUUAUUGCCCGUACUUAAACUGACACAAGUUAAUACGUAGAGUAUACUAAAGAGCACGAAAGAACUCCCUCUAAGGAACUCGGCAAAUUAACUCUGUAACUUAGGGAUAAAGAGUGCCUAUUAGGCUUCAAUAAAAAGAUUCAAGCGACUGUUUAUCAAAAACACAGGUUCCCGCUAAAUUGAAAAAUGAUGUAAGGGGGCUGACGCCUGCCCAGUGCUGAUAAGUGAAAUAAAAAAGUUAUAUAAACUAUAAGCUUUUUUUAUAAGCAUUAGUAAACGGCGGCCGUAACUAUAACGGUCCUAAGGUAGCGAAAUUCCUUGUCGGGUAAGUUCCGACCCGCACGAAAGGCGUAACGACUUGAAUACUGUCUCAGAGGGAGAUUCGGUGAAAUAAAAAUAUCCGUGAAGAUGCGGAUAACACACAUUAGGACAGAAAGACCCUAUGAAGCUUGACUAUAUUUUAAAAUUGUAAUUUAAUUUAAUUUGUGCAGUAUAAGUGGGAGAUAAAAAUAAUUUUAUGCAAGUAAAUUUAUAGUCAUAAAUGAGAUACCACCCUUAUUAAAUUAUAUUUCUAAUAAAUACACUAUAAAUUAGUUUUUAAACCAUUUUAAAAAGGUAGUUUGACUGGGGCGGUCGCCUCCUAAAAAGUAACGGAGGCGCACAAAGGUUUAUUUAUAUCGGUCAGAAAUCGAUAGAUAAGUGUAAAGGCAGAAAUAAGCUUGACUGUAAGAUAUACUAAUCAAACAGGGACGAAAGUCGGUCUUAAUGAUCCGAUAUUUUUGAGAGGGAAAGAUAUCGCUUAACGAAUAAAAGUUACUCUAGGGAUAACAGGCUAAUCUCUCCUAAGAGUCCUUAUCGCCGGAGAGGUUUGGCACCUCGAUGUCGGCUCGUCGCAUCCUGGGGCUGUAGAAGGUCCCAAGGGUUGGUCUGUUCGCCCAUUAAAGCGGCACGUGAGCUGGGUUCAGAACGUCGCGAGACAGUUCGGUCCGUAUCCGAUGUGUGCGUUAGAAUAUUGAGAGAAUUUUUUCUAGUACGAGAGGACCGAAAAAAGUAUGCCGCUAGUGUACCAGUUAUUAUACCUAUAGUAGACGCUGGGUAGCCACGCAUAAUAAAAAUAACCGCUGAAAGCAACUAAGUGGGAAGUUUUUCUCAAGAUAAAUAUUCUCACCAUUAUUAAUUUUAAUGGGUAAGAUCAUAGUUAGAUUAACUAAUAAAUAGUAUUUAUGUGUAAGUUUUGUAAAAAACUUAGCAAAGAAUAACUAAAAGAUCGA